UGUGUGACAAAACCCCCAACCUAAUAAGUGGUUAUGUUUCAGCCCCUACUUACAUUUCCAAGACAGCACAUGGAGAGAGUAUUUGUCAAAGCCCUAAAAUACCCUUAACCAUUUUCUCCCCCAAAAUUUUUCUGCCCAGUGCCCUCUCUCUCUUCUCUCUUCUCAUGCUCAAAGCUCGAAUCUGGCCAAUCCCUCCACCGCCUCCUUCACGAAUACAUCGCCUACCAACGCUCUCUCGAUGUCCACCUAAACUCCAUCCUCUCCUCCCUCCCCGAUCUCGACCGCAGCCUCCUCGCACUCCGCCGGUCCUCCUCCCCUCUCCUCUCUCUCGCCCGCUCUCAAAGCGGCAACAGUGAUAGACAAAUCUCGGUGAAAUGGAUAUCGUUGCUCUGCUUCUCAAGCUUCGGCCUUGGGUUGUUGUUCACGAAUAGAUUCUGGACAGCCCCUGAAUCUAGUGCACAAAUAAUUUCUAGGCGGCGACAAGACCAAGAGCUUAAGCUCAUCUUAGAGGAUUGCACAACCAAAAAGAAACAUGGUCAAGAGAAAGAUUCAAAUGUAAUGGAUGAGGUUAUCACCAAGACUCAUGAAGCCAUAUAGUUGGUUUUCUUGGAAAGAAAUCAAUCAAAUAGAGAAGCACACAUUAGCUUCAUUUUUUAAUGGGAAGUCUACGAGUAGGCCUCCUGAAAUAUACAUGGAAGUAAGAAACUCAAUCAUGAGGAAAUUUCAUGCCGAUCCACAUACGCAACUGGAGGUGAAAGAUCUGGAGGAGAUUUCUAUUGGUGACUUGGAAAUGAAGCAAGAAGUUACGGGAGAAAGUUGUUCUAAAAAUUGAUUAGUUGAACCAAAACUUGUGUGUCGCUUGUAUUGUGUAUAUUAGUUUAGUUGUGUAAACAGUUGAUGUGGAUGACAAACAAUGCAACAAAUUUGACCUUUUAUUGCUCUUAUUGUAUUUUCUGGUAUUUUUUCCACCAUAUGUUUACGUUUUGUUUUGAUACAAUAUAUAUUUAGUUGGUUUUUGUGA